rnacentral:rRNA from 1 species
CCUACGGGAGGCAGCAGUGGGGAAUAUUGGACAAUGGGCGAAAGCCUGAUCCAGCAAUGCCGCGUGUGUGAAGAAGGCCUUCGGGUUGUAAAGCACUUUAAGUUGGGAAGAAAAAGCUCUGGCUAAUAUCUAGAGCCUUGACGGUACCAACAGAAUAAGCACCGGCUAACUCUGUGCCAGCAGCCGCGGUAAUACAGAGGGUGCUAGCGUUAAUCGGAUUUACUGGGCGUAAAGCGUGCGUAGGCGGUUUGAUAAGUCGAUUGUGAAAGCCCCGGGCUUAACCUGGGAAUUGCAGUUGAUACUGUCAGACUAGAAAACGGUAGAGGGAGGCGGAACUCCAGGUGUAGCGGUGAAAUGCGUAGAUAUCUGGAAGAACACCGAUGGCGAAGGCAACCUCCUGGGCCUGUUUUGACGCUGAGGCACGAAAGCGUGGGUAGCAAACAGGAUUAGAUACCCUGGUAGUCCACGCCGUAAACGAUGAGAACUGACGUUGUUGNUAGACAAUACGUGUGUAGCUACGACGAGUAAGUUACUCCGCCGUCGGGUAGGUACGGCCGGCGAGGUUAGGUAACGUACGAAAGGAAGUUAGACGGACGUGAGACGUGCCGACGGACGACGACGAGGGAGGAGG